rnacentral:lncRNA from 1 species
UAGGCAGCAAUCCAAGUAGCAGAGGGACCAAACAAAGAGUGACCCUAUAGACGGGACCUAACAAAGAGUGACCCUAUGGACCUGAGAUAAGAGAAGGUUCGCGACCCGAUCUCAUGCACGUAUUCUAAAUCAAUAUGCAUUGAAUGAAGGAAUUGGUCUAUUCCCUGGCCGGGUAAGUGCGUUUCACGGAUCAAGCAUAUAUGAUUAUGAUGUUCUCUAUCCCGAUGACCCGCAUACGAUUGAAAUUCUAGCUAGGGCGCUCAUCCGUUGCUUCUUUGUAGUUAUGUCAGACAAAAGCAUUCUCCCUCUGACUUUGGAACUCCACUAUUUUGCACUCUCUUAAAACCAGAGAUUGG